rnacentral:rRNA from 1 species
CUUGAAACACGGACCAAGGAGUUUAGCGUGUGCGCGAGUCAUUGGGUGGAAAACCUAAAGGCGGAAUGAAAGUAAAGGAAACUCGCUUUCUGAGGGAGGAUGGGUUACCUGCCUUUACAGGCGGUGCUCCGCACUCCCGGGGCGUCUCUUUCUCAUUACGAGUGGAGGCGCACCUAUAGCGUACACGCUGAUACCCGAAAGAUGGUGAACUAUGCCUGGCCAGGACGAAGCCAGGGGAAACCCUGGUGGAGGUCCGCAGCGAUUCUGACGUGCAAAUCGAUCGUCGGAGCUUGGUAUAGGGGCGAAAGACCAAUCGAACCAUCUAGUAGCUGGUUCCCUCUGAAGUUUCCCUCAGGAUAGCUUGCGCUCGGUUGAGACGAGUCUCAUCCGGUAGAGCGAAUGAUUAGAGGCCUUGGGGUCGAAACGACCUCAACCUAUUCUCAAACUCCAAAUAGAUGAGAUCCCCGGCUUGCUUGAAAGUGAAGCCGGGACUCGGAUCAGAGUGCCAAGUGGGCCAAUUUUGGUAAGCAGAACUGGCGCU